CAAUAGCGUAUAUUAAAGUUGUUGCGGUCAAAAAGCUCGUAGUUGGAUUUCUACCGAAGAUAGCCGGUCGGGUCUUCGACCUUGUAUCUGGUUUUGUCUUUGGUAUCCUCAUAGGGAACGUUUCUGCGCUUUAUUGCGUGGUGCGGUAUCUAUGACUUUUACUUUGAGGAAAUUAGAGUGUUCACGGCAGGCAAACGCCUUGAAUAUAUUAGCAUGGAAUAAUAACAUAGGAUCUUCGUCCUAUUUUGUUGGUUUCUAGGGCUAAGAUAAUGAUUAAUAGGGAUAAUUGGGGGCAUCUGUAUCAACGCGUCAGAGGUGGAAUUCCUGGAUUGCGUUGCGACAAACUACUGCGAAAGCAUUUGCCAAGGAUGUUUUCAUUGA
rnacentral:rRNA from 1 species